CCUGUCAUCAGUAGCAAAGAAAAUAUUUUCAACAUUCUCAUCAGAUGCUACACUAGCUUCAGCGGACUCAGUAGUUUUCUCAACAAGUUUUCCCUUUUGCUUUAAUUUAUUUUUCAAUUUAAAGCAAUCAGUCUUAAUGUGCCCCAUUUUAUGACAAUAUCUGCAUUCCAAAUUUCUAUGUCUGGAUUUAGAUCUAGAUUUAGAUCUACUACUGUCAAAU
rnacentral:lncRNA from 1 species